rnacentral:rRNA from 1 species
AGGUGAUCCAACCGCAGGUUCCCCUACGGUUACCUUGUUACGACUUCACCCCAGUCAUGAAUCACAAAGUGGUAAGCGCCCUCCCGAAGGUUAAGCUACCUACUUCUUUUGCAACCCACUCCCAUGGUGUGACGGGCGGUGUGUACAAGGCCCGGGAACGUAUUCACCGUGGCAUUCUGAUCCACGAUUACUAGCGAUUCCGACUUCAUGGAGUCGAGUUGCAGACUCCAAUCCGGACUACGACGCACUUUAUGAGGUCCGCUUGCUCUCGCGAGGUCGCUUCUCUUUGUAUGCGCCAUUGUAGCACGUGUGUAGCCCUGGUCGUAAGGGCCAUGAUGACUUGACGUCAUCCCCACCUUCCUCCAGUUUAUCACUGGCAGUCUCCUUUGAGUUCCCGGCCGGACCGCUGGCAACAAAGGAUAAGGGUUGCGCUCGUUGCGGGACUUAACCCAACAUUUCACAACACGAGCUGACGACAGCCAUGCAGCACCUGUCUCACAGUUCCCGAAGGCACCAAUCCAUCUCUGGAAAGUUCUGUGGAUGUCAAGACCAGGUAAGGUUCUUCGCGUUGCAUCGAAUUAAACCACAUGCUCCACCGCUUGUGCGGGCCCCCGUCAAUUCAUUUGAGUUUUAACCUUGCGGCCGUACUCCCCAGGCGGUCGACUUAACGCGUUAGCUCCGGAAGCCACGCCUCAAGGGCACAACCUCCAAGUCGACAUCGUUUACGGCGUGGACUACCAGGGUAUCUAAUCCUGUUUGCUCCCCACGCUUUCGCACCUGAGCGUCAGUCUUCGUCCAGGGGGCCGCCUUCGCCACCGGUAUUCCUCCAGAUCUCUACGCAUUUCACCGCUACACCUGGAAUUCUACCCCCCUCUACGAGACUCAAGCUUGCCAGUAUCAGAUGCAGUUCCCAGGUUGAGCCCGGGGAUUUCACAUCUGACUUAACAAACCGCCUGCGUGCGCUUUACGCCCAGUAAUUCCGAUUAACGCUUGCACCCUCCGUAUUACCGCGGCUGCUGGCACGGAGUUAGCCGGUGCUUCUUCUGCGGGUAACGUCAAUGAGCAAAGGUAUUAACUUUACUCCCUUCCUCCCCGCUGAAAGUACUUUACAACCCGAAGGCCUUCUUCAUACACGCGGCAUGGCUGCAUCAGGCUUGCGCCCAUUGUGCAAUAUUCCCCACUGCUGCCUCCCGUAGGAGUCUGGACCGUGUCUCAGUUCCAGUGUGGCUGGUCAUCCUCUCAGACCAGCUAGGGAUCGUCGCCUUGGUGAGCCGUUACCCCACCAACAAGCUAAUCCCAUCUGGGCACAUCCGAUGGCAAGAGGCCCGAAGGUCCCCCUCUUUGGUCUUGCGACAUUAUGCGGUAUUAGCUACCGUUUCCAGUAGUUAUCCCCCUCCAUCAGGCAGUUUCCCAGACAUUACUCACCCGUCCGCCACUCGUCAGCGAAGCAGCAAGCUGCUUCCUGUUACCGUUCGACUUGCAUGUGUUAGGCCUGCCGCCAGCGUUCAAUCUGAGCCAUGAUCAAACUCU